rnacentral:rRNA from 1 species
CCCGAAUUUUGAAGAGCUAUAUUAAUAUAUAUAUUAUUGUAUAAUAAAUAUUUUGGAUAUUAAUAUUGAAGCUAAAUACUAUUCGAUUCAAAUUAUAUCUGGUUUUUUGGGAAAUAAAUUUAAUUUAUUUGUUAUUAAUAAUUGGUUUUGUUUAAUUAAUUGUUUUAUAAUAUUAAAUAAUUAAAGGGAUUAGCUUUUAAUUAAAUUUCUAAAAUAAUUUUUUUUAUUAAAAAGAAUAUAGGAUUAAUAAUUUUCAUUAUUUUUAAUUUGUUAUAAUUAGCUUUUUUGUAUAAAGAUUUUUUUUUUAUUUAGAUUUUUUACUAAAAUUAUGAAAUUAAUAAUUUUAUUUAUUUAAUAAUGGUAAAAUUAGUAUAUUAUAAUUUAUGAAUAAUUUUUAUUCUUAGGUAGAUUAAAGGAAUUCGGCAAAUAUAUUUUUCACCUGUUUAAUAAAAACAUGUCUUUUUGAUAAUAAUUUAAAGUCUGGUCUGCCCAAUGAAAAUUAAAUGGCCGCAGUAUUUUGACUGUGCGAAGGUAGCAUAAUAAUUAGUUUUUUUAUUGAAAGCUGGAAUGAAUGAUUUAAUGAAAAAAUAGCUGUCUCUAAUUUAUUUAUAUAGAAUUUUAUUUUUUAGUUAAAAAGCUGAAAUUUAAUUUAAAGACGAGAAGACCCUAUAGAGUUUUAUAUUUUAAGAACAAUUUAUUUUAUUGAAUUAAUUUAUUUUUAGUUUUUAAAUUAUUUUGUUGGGGUGACAGAAAAAUUUAAUUAACUUUUUUAUUAUAUUUACAAUUUUAAUUGGAUUUAUGAUCCUUAUUUUGGAUAAAUAGAUUAAAUUACCUUAGGGAUAACAGCGUAAUUUUUCUGUAGAGUUCUAAUCGAUAGAAAAGAUUGCGACCUCGAUGUUGGAUUAAGAUUUAUUUUUAAUGUAGAAGUUAAAAUAUUUAGUCUGUUCGACUAUUAAAAUCUUACAUGAUCUGAGUUUAGACCGGCGUGAGCCAGGUUGGUUUCUAUCUUUAAUCAAUAAGAACUUCUUAGUACGAAAGGACCAG